ACCAACGAGCACCACAAACACACACCAACACACAGAGACCCACACACUACCAAACACACUACACACUACCACACAGAGAGCACAAACACACACACACACACACACACACACACGAGACACCACGACCAGAAACACCACACACACCACAGAGAGCACACACACACACACACAGAGAGACACCACACCCACACCACACACAGGACGACACCACACACACACAGAACACACACACAGAGAGCACACACACACCACCACAGAGGACACACACACACACACACACAGACGAACACACACACACACACACAGAGACCACAACACACACCACACCCACACAACACACACACACACACACAGCGACACACCCACCACAUACACACCACCGGCACACACACCACACACCCACACACACCCACAAGCGAGACACACACCACACAUCACAGGAGAGCCACACACACACACACACACACAGACACACAACACACGACACACACACCAACACACGAGACACACACACACACACAGAGACCACACACCACACACACACACACACACACACCACGACGACACACACACACACACAGAGACACACACACACAGAGAGACACCACACACACACACACCACCACACACACACAGAGAGACACACCACACACACCACACAGAAAGGAGCACACACACAAACACACACAACAAGAGAGGACCACACACCACACACCACACACACACCACAGAGACACACGACACACACCACACACAAGCAGAGACCACACACACACACACACACACAAGAGCACAUCACACACACACACACACGAGACGACACACACACACACACACAGAGAGGCCACACACCACACCCACCCACACAGAGAGAGGACCACCAACACACACCACACACCACACACACACAGAGAGACACAUCACCACACACACACACACACACACACACACGAGACCACACACCCCACACAGACGAACAACCAACACACACAGAGACACCACACCACAGACACACAAGAGCACACCACACACACACACCACACAGAGAGACACCACACCACCACACAGAGACACACACACACACACACAGAGAGGACACACCCAAGAGGACACAACACACACAAGAGACCACACACACACACACGAGAGAGAGCACACACACAGAGAGACACACACCACACACCACAGAGAGACACACACACACAGACACACACCCACAAGGAGACACCACACACCACACACAGAGCACACAACACACACACACACAGAGAGACACACCACACCACACAAGAGAACACACACACACACACCACCGAGAGCACACACACACACACCCACACACAACACACCGAGAGACACACAACACAACACACAACAGAGAGACACACCCACACCACAGAGAGACACAACACACACACACACAGAGAGCACACACACACACACACACACAGGACGACAACACCCACACACACACACCAGAGAGACACACACACACACACAAGAGACACACCACACAACAGAGGAAACACACACACACAGCGAGCGACACACACACCCACACACACACACACACACCACACCCAGAGAGACACACACACACACACACACAGACCACACACACACAGAGAGACACACACACACACAACACACCCAGAGAGACACACACACACACCACAGGCAACACCGAGCGACAACACACACACCACACCGGACACACCACACACACACAGAGCGACACACACACACACACACACAGCCACACACCACACACACACACAGCGAACACACACACACACAGACCCACACACACACACACACCACACAGAGAGACACACACACACACACAGAGAGGACACACACACACACACACACACAGAGGACACACACACACACACACACCAGAGAGACACACACACACACCAGAGAGACACACCCCACAACCCACACACCAGAGAGAGAACCAGAGACACACACACACACACACACACACAGAGAGGACACACACACACACCCCACCACACAGAGAGACCACCCACACACACACGCGAGACACACCACACACACACACACACCGAGAGACACCACACACACACACACACACACAGAAGCAGACACCACACACACACAGAGAGACACCACACCCAACAGAGACACACAGCGACACACACACACACACACCACACAGAGACAACACACACACACCCACACAACACACACAAGAGCACACACACACACACACACACAGAGACACACACACACACCAGAGACACAACACACACAAGAGAGAGACACACACACACACACCGGACACACACACACACCACACAAGAGACACACACACACACCACACACACAGAGAGACACCCACACACACACACACAGAAGACACACACACACACACACACACAGCGACCACACCACACACACACACACAGAGACCACACACACACACACACACAGAGAGACACACACACACACACACGACACACACACACACACAGAGAGACACACACACACACACAAAGAGACACACACACACACCCACACCAACACACCCACACACACCCACACACACACACAGAGAACACACACACACAACAGAGACAACCCACCACACACAGAGACACACACACACACACACACACACAGAGAGACACACCACACACACACACACACACAGGAGGACACACACACCACACACACCGAGCAAGACACACACACAGCCACACACACACAGAGAGGACACACACACACACACACACGAGAGAUCACACACACCACACACACACAGAGACACACACACACCACACACACACACACACCACAGAACCACACCACACACACACAACACACACACAGAGCGACACACACCACACACACACCACAGAGACACCACACACACCGAGAGACACCACCCACACAACACACACCACACACAGAGAGACACACACACACACACACACAGAGCGGACACACCACACACACCACACACACAGAGGCACACACACCACACCACACAGAGAGACCCACACACACACACACACAGCGAGGACCACACACACACACACACCAGAGAGAACACACACACACACAGAGAGAGACACACACACACACACAGAGAGACACACACACACAACACACACACACCCACACACACACCACACACACAAGCGAGACACACACCACACCCACACACAGAGACCACACACACACACACACACACACACCGAGAGACACACACCCACCACACACACACCGAGACGGCACACACACACCACACACCACAGAGCAGACACACACACACACACACACAGAGAGACACCACACCCAACGAGAGCACACACACACCCCACAGAGAGACACACACACACACACAGAAGACACACACACACACACAGAGGAGAGAGGACACACACAGAGAGGACACCCACACACACACCAGAGCGACACACACAACCACACACCCACACAGAGAGACACACACACACACACACAGGCAAAGACACACACACACACACACACAGAGAGGACACACACACACACACAGAGAGACACCACCCACACACAACACACACACACACAGAGAGACAACACACCCACACACAGAGAGAACACACAACACACACACACACAGAGAGACACACACACACACACAGAGAGCCACACACACACACACACACACACACACGAGACCACACCACACACACCACACACACAGAGAGACACCCACACACACACAUCACAACACAGAGCGAGCACACACCACCACAGCGAACGACACACACACACACACACACAGAGACACACACACACGGAGAGAGAACAACACACACACACAGAGACACACACACACACACACACACACAGAGAGACACACACACACACACACACAGCACACACACACACACACAGAGAGAGAGACAACACACACACACACACGAGAGACACACCAGACACACACACAGAGAGCCACACACACACACAGAGAGACACACACACACGCACCACACAGAGACACACACACACACACAGAGAGACACACACACAGAGAGACACACACACACACACGACACCACACACACCACACAGAGAGGGAAGCACCACCACACACACACACAGAGGAACACACACCACCACACACAGAGAGACACACACACACACACAGAGGACACACACACACACACACACAGAGAGGGACACACACACACCACAGAGAGAACACACACACACACACACCACACACAGGACCACACACAGCAACACACACACAGAGGACACACACACACACACAAACAGAGACACACACACACACACGAGAGAGAGGACACACACGAGACAACACACACACACACACACAGAGAGACACCACACACACACACACAGAGAGGACACACACACCACACACACAGAGAGGACACACACACACAGCACACCACACACACAGAGGACACACACACACACACAGGAGAACACACACACACACACACACAACACACACACACGAGAGACCCACCAACACCCACCACCACACAGAGACACACCACACACCACCACACACCGGCACACACACACACACACCCACCACAGAGACACACAACACACCACACACACACACACACAGAGAGAGACACACACACACACAGAGACACACACACACACACACAGAGAGAGACACACCACACACGAAGAACACCCACACACAGACACACACACACAGGAGAGACACACACAACACAACACAGAGCACACACACCACACACACACCACCGAGACACACACACACACAAAGAGGACACACACACACAAGACGAGCACACCACACAACACCACAGCGACCACACACACACACACAGAGAGAGACACACACACACACACACAGAGACACACACACACAAAGCAGAGGAGAGAGACACACCAGAGAGACACACACACACACACAGAGAGGGACACACACCACCCAUACACAGAGAGACACACCACACACACACAGAGAGACACUCCACACACACAGAGAGACACACACACACACACACACACAGAGACACACACACACCACACCACCACACAGAGAGACCACACACCACACACACACGGAGCGACACACCACACACAGAGAGAGACACACACACACACAGAGACACACACCACACACAGCACAGAGCGACACACACCACCAAGAGAGACCACACAACACACACACAGAGACACACACACACACAGAGAGACACACACACACACAGCGAGGCAACACACACACACCACACAGCACACACACACACACACACAGAGAGACACACACACACACACAGAGGACACACACACAAACACACACACACACAGAGAGGACCACACACACACACACAGAGAGACACCACCACACACACAGAGGACACCACACACACACACAGAGAGGACACACACACACACACACAGAGAGACACACACACAGAGAAGAGCUCCAGUAGCAGGCCAGGGAACAGGCUGAUGUCUCUUGGUGUCCCUCCCCUCUCAGGAGCUGUAUGA
rnacentral:lncRNA from 1 species